UACGAAUGUGGCAAGCGUUGUUCGGAAUCACUGGGCGUAAAGAAUGCGUAGGCGGCUUAACAAGUCAGGAGUGAAAUCCCAGGGCUUAACCCUGGAACUGCUCUUGAAACUGUUUUGCUAGAGUCCCGGAGGGGUUGGCGGAAUUCCGAGUGUAGAGGUGAAAUACGCAGAUAUUCGGAGGAACACCAGUGGCGUAGGCGGCCAACUGGACGGGAACUGACGCUGAGGCAUGAAAGUGUGGGGAUCAAACAGG
rnacentral:rRNA from 1 species